AUGCCUGCAGUUGUCCGCCAGUGGCCAAUCUGGCCCACGGCCUGGCCCACGUCCUGGCCCACGGCCUGGCCCACGGCCUGGCCCACGGCCUGGCCCACGGCCUGGCCCACGUCCUGGCCCACGGCCUGGCCCACGUCCUGGCCCACGGCCUGGCCCACGGCCUGGCCCAGGGCCUGGCCCGUGGGCCCACGUCCUGGCCCACGGCCCACGGCCUGGCCCAGGGCCCACGGCUUGGCCCACGGCCUGGCCCACGGCCCACGGCCCAGGGCCCACGGCUUGGCCCAGGGCCCACGGCUUGGCCCACGGCCUGGCCCAGGGCCCACGGCCUGGCCCACAACCUGGCCCAGGGCCCACGGCUUGGCCCACGGCCCACGGCCUGGCCCAGGGCCCACGGCCUGGCCCAGGGCCCACGGCUUGGCCCACGGCCCACGGCCUGGCCCACGGCCCACGGCCUGGCCCACAGCCUGGCCCACGGCCCAGGGCCCACAGCCUGGCCCACGGCCCAGGGCCCACGGCCUGGCCCACGGCCCAGCCCACGGCCUGGCCCAGGGCCCACGGCUUGGCCCACGGCCCACGGCCUGGCCCACGGCCUGGCCCACGGCCCACGGCCUGGCCCACAGCCUGGCCCACGGCCCAGGGCCCACGGCCUGGCCCACGGCCCAGCCCACGGCCUGGCCCACAGCCCACGGCCCAGGGCCCACGGCCUGGCCCACAGCCUGGCCCACGGCCCAGGGCCCACGGCCUGGCCCACGGCCCAGCCCACGGCCUGGCCCACAGCCCACGGCCCAGGGCCCACGGCCCAGCCCACGGCCUGGCCCACAGCCCACGGCCCAGGGCCCACGGCCUGGCCCACGGCCCACGGCCUGGCCCACAGCCUGGCCCACGGCCCAGGGCCCACGGCCUGGCCCACAGCCCACAGCCUGGCCCACGGCCUGGCCCACGGCCUGGCCCACGGCCCACGGCCUGGCCCACAGCCUGGCCCACAGCCUGGCCCACGGCCCAGGGCCCACGGCCUGGCCCACGGCCCACGGCCCAGGGCCCACGGCCUGGCCCACGGCCCACGGCCCACGGCCUGGCCCACGGCCCACGGCCUGGCCCACAGCCUGGCCCACGGCCCACGGCCCAGGGCCCACGGCCUGGCCCACGGCCCAGGGCCCACGGCCCAGGGCCCACGGCCCAGGGCCCACGGCCUGGCCCACUGCGUCACACUCGGAUGGAGGUGAUGAGAUGUAUCUGUAUCUGUGUGUGUAUUCAGACACAUCAAAGCAGUCUGGACAGCCUUAA
ensembl:lncRNA